rnacentral:tRNA from 1 species
CUUUAGGUAGCUUAAAUAAAGCUUCAGCCUCUUGAUCUGAAGAUGGGAGACUUCCCCCUAGAGA